rnacentral:lncRNA from 1 species
AUGGCUCUCAGUGCCGGCGUCACAAUGGGCAGUUCAGUAGCUCCUAGAAGCUUCACAAGUUGGGGAACAACUCCCUUCUUCACAACCAUCUCAAUGUGCUCAGUUGGCCCAUCAGUCAGAUGCCAUCCUCUGUGUGCAGUGCAGAUUGUUGUCCUGGAUUCAGAAGAUUCUGGAAGGAGGGAAUGGCAGCCUGCUGUUUUGUUUGUAGCCCCUGCCCUGAAAAUGCAAGUUCUAAUGAGACAAGUGAGUGUUUGCUGCUCUGAUAAAUUCUGAAGAUAUAUAUUCCUCUUGUGCCCCAAUGGGAUUAUAAAGUCAAUUAACAGGCAACUGAAAAUAUAAAAUAUAUUACUUUUCUAACUUACUAGUUGUAGAUAUAAAAAUAAUUAACAAAUCUUGCCAAAAUAAAAAAAACAUUAUCUCUUUUGUGUUGUUGUAAAAUUUUAUUGAAAUGCUGUCUUUUAUCUCCACUAGACCCAGCACUGCAUUGUCCCCAAAUAUCUGCUAGAUAUCUUGCCAGAAACACACAUCCCAACUCUGUGGUGGCCCAGUUUCUCUGCUGCCACACACUCUCCCAAACUCAAUUCUCCACAAGAAAGAACACACAACAUUAUAACCUCUGAUCCAAUAGAUAAGAUAUAAUUGCCCACCUAAACAUACAAAGCCUUGUACACAUCCAUCCUUUAAGAAUAUUCAUAACAACCUAUAGCUACACAGAGUGGAAUCUUAAGGUCAGCCUCCAUGUUCUCUCCAUGGCUCUCUUCCAGUCUCCUCCCAUUCCAGUCUCCUCCUCUUCCCUCAAACUUUUUUCCCCACCCAUCCUUCCUUCUCGUCCAAUGACAGGCAUCUUUCUAUUUUGUACUUGCCUUCACCUGCAUAAUGAAUGUUAUCAUCCCAC